GGGUCGUUAGCUCAGUUGGUAGAGCGCUUCGUUUACACCGAAGAUGUCGGGAGUUCGAGUCUCUCAUCACCCACCA
rnacentral:tRNA from 1 species